GACGCGCGCGCGGCAUGGCGCGCUGGCGUUCUGUUGUUUUGCCGUGUGCGCGUGCUGGGCCAUUGCAGUUUGCCCGUCGAAGAACAACUUUGUUGGUAUGACAUAGUUAGAAUGACAAUCUACGACAGCGACCCGCAGAUUUCCACUGUACCAGGUAAAGCGUCAAAGAGGCUUUCGGAAGCCAGCAUUGGUUGAUACGUUGUACCGGUUGUACUGCGGGACUGUUCUGUGACACUGGUUUGUGUCAACACUGAAAAACUAGAGUUGCACCCCAACAGAGACUUGAAGCUCACUUAUCAGCCAUGGGCUGUUGGGAAGACAUGAUUGAAGCCAUCGGAAAGAUGGGCGACCCGUACGAGCUCGCCAAUAGCGAAGACCUCAUCGUCUUAAAGCUGGACAAGCCACUGCCGAGCGGCCGCUCCAUUCCCCAACAACUAAUGGCUGACUCCAGCCGCUCAGUGCUCACGACGUGUCAGGAAGGCUUUACCAGCUGCCGAAGCUUUCUCGUCAAGCACUCCUAUUCCACGGUGCUUUUCUCCGGUUUACCCGAGCUGAAGUCGACGAAAGUAUUGCUCGCCACUGCGAGGGAUGUUGUCCCGAAGGCACAGGAGCUGAUCAUCGUUCACAACAGGGACCUGAUGGUCGACCUAGUGUCCUGGUUCUCCAAGCUGACCAGGCUGAUCCUGUACCACGACCUGACUCUGCAGUCGGAUUCCGCGGAUGAGGUGCAGGUGUUGGCAGAGAGGGCGCAGCUCCACCAAGUCUGGGGCACCACGCCGGCAGUUGGCACCGAAGAGCUUUUCCUCUGCCCCCAGACGCUCGCCAUGCUGCUUGCAAACUGUCCUUCGCUAUCUGAAAUCCAAGCACCGCUGAACGAAGUCGUGAUGCUUGCGGACCAGUUUCGGGCACGUUCGCCGCAUUUUCCGCCCGUGUUCAACAACUGUCGGGAGCUGACAUUGGGCUCUUACCUUCGACGGAGCACGCGCAGUGCAACCAUGAUGGGCACUGCAACCCUGCCUUGCAUCAAGAAGGCGCUCGAACUGUAUCCGAACCUCGAGCAGUUGCAGGUCUCGACAAUAGACCGGGACGUCCUCGCCUUCUUACCGAAGUUCUCCCGGCUCAAGCGCCUUUCCAUAAUGUACGGUGGCCGAGGCGGAAUGUGUCCCUUCCUCCCCUUCAUCACCGAUAUGCUGCAAGCACUGCACCUGACGCGCCUGACGAUAAAAUACUUCAAGGGCAUACUUCUGUCUACCAUCGCCCGUCACUGCCCAAACCUCGAAUGCCUCUCUUUAUUGGACUGCAACCUCUGUGACGAGGUGAUCCAACCCGGCUCGUUUACGAAACUGAGAUCUCUCGCCCUCAGCGACUGCAACAUGGACGAAGCGUUCUUCCCCCUCCUCAAUGACGCCGAGGGCCUCACCGACCUCCACCUCGACGGCGAGUGGGCGAUUGCAUCGUACGUCAGCGGGCCGCCGGAGCCGUCGAAGCCGCGGCCUAUCCACCGUAAGAUGGAGCAGCUCAUCCUCGCCACGGAGUGGUCGUUGCGGGCGUUGUACCUGUUGCCCGAGGAAGUCCGCAGGACGAUCGAGUCUAUGCCGGUGCUCAGGCGUCUGAGCACGAACAGCUACGACAUCCGACUGUGCAUGCAGACCUACUACCCACACGUGACACUGACAUGGUCCACGUGUACAACCUGCAUGGCCGAGUUCCCGAAAGUUGGCUUUGUGCAGGAUUAUAUCUGGCGCUCGCUGCAUACCGAGAAUAAAGACGACGACGAGGACACAUAGCUGCGAAAAAACGUGUGCCCCUAUAUCACUGAGGACAAUCGGGACGGACUUUCUGUUGGCGAGUACAAUGAACAGCAUCGCAGAAGCACUGCCGAUCAUUCUUGCAACAUUUUCACAACUAUGUGCAGGGUUGACCACAUCCAAGGUGAACACUUCAUUAAUAUUCAGAUGACCUGGACUUUCCAGGACUCGAUGUCUGGUUGAAAGCGCAGCGGAAAUUCCCAGCCGAGACGCAUUCUCACAUGUGACUCGGCGUGUUCUCUGACCAUAAUGCGGUAGAACUGCAUGACACAUUGACCGCUAAUAAAUGACAAAGAGAGAGAG
rnacentral:misc_RNA from 1 species